CCAAAUAGAUUAGAGAGAGGAAAGAGGGAGAAGGAAGAGAGGGUUGCAUUCGAUGCCGACCGUCGUCGAAGAUGAAGGUGCCGCCGACCGCCUUCUUCUUCUUCUUCUUUUUGAUUCCGGAAACAUCAUUCUUGUCCGGUGAACACAUUUCAGACCUCUGCAACUUGCCUUAACUCUGGUCGAUUCCGUGACGGUUAGGCCGCGGAGAUGCUGAUGAGCAGGUUCACUGGCCGCCAAGUCAUGACUCUCUAUGAUCGAUCUUUUACGCUUUUUAAAUUGAUGUUUACAUGCGUAUUAAGUAUAGAUCUGGUAUAUGUAUCCGUAUGUUUGCCCGAUGAUGGAAAUCCUUUGUAUAGAGAGGCCUCAUGGACAGCAUAUCACAGAAAAUCCAAACAGGCUCUUAGUGUUCAUCACUUGCCUUUCCUUCCACGUGUCAGAUUUGGGCCUCCAAGAUUGAGCGGAAGGAGAGGAGAUUGACGUUCAACAAGAAACUAUGGACAAAACUGUUAAAACUCAGAUGGCUGAAGAGUGACAGAAAAGAACAAGCAAUACUGAAAGAUAGGGAAAAGAUGCCCAGGGAUGUGUACUCAUCUAUUUUAUUUCAAAAUCAGGUGAUCGUUUUUUAUCCAAUUCUGAAGAUAUCGAAGACAAAUAGUAAUCGAGAGAGAGCAAAGUAGUUUGCGGCUUGGAAUUGAAGGUUAACAAAGUUAAUAGUUCCUCAACGGUGAAUUCUGAAAGUUCGUGCGUGAAUCUUGCAAAUGAAACAAGAGGUUGAUUCUCAAUUAAUACUAAGCGUUCUAGCAUAGCUGUAUCAAAUCGAGGCAGAUCCAUAGCAACAAUUCUCGACAACUGCAUUGUGACUUAGGUCACGGUUCGAAAUUAAAAGACAAAGUAGUGUCGGGCGGCUUCAGUUGGAAAUCUAGCAAUUCUUGUUUGACUUUUGAAGACGAAGCGGGUAAGGUGAGUUUCGACAGCGAUUCUGAGAAGAUUGCAGCAAAGCCAGUGGUCCUUCAGUAAUUAGAUGAUGAUUGGGUGAGACGAAGGCGCUAAUUACAGCUAGAAAGGAAGGCAAUCGCACUCUAAAUCCGCGGACGACGUGGGUAGAAUCAGAGUGGUUGCCAAUGGAGCCAGACUUUUGAUGGUCAGAUUAGGAAUUUGGAGUUGCAACAGUUGUUCGUCAAUAUUGGCGAAAAGACCAAGCUAGGGAAGUUGAUUUUGUGCCAAACAAAAAGGAAACUAUAGGGCUAGGCAUGGCAAAAGGAACGAGGAUGGAGCAAUUGGAGACCCAACUGGAUAUUGUGCAGAUUGGCCUUCACCAAACUCAUGAACAAUUGGAGGACCGAUUUGAGAUGGUGGAACUCGGUCUUUGUUAAACUCAAGAGGAUGUGAGUGGUAGCAGAAUCAAGAAUUCAACCACUAGAGAUAUGAUGAUGACGAUGGAGAAGAACAUGAAGGCCGAGAUCAUUGGCGUUCGAGAGGACAUCUCUAGCCUCAAAGAGGAAUUGUUCGGUUUUGGCCAGCAAUUGACCACCGUCCUGAGUCUGUUCUCAAGAAUGUCUAAUGUGAGUUUGUUGGAUGAUUUUUCCCCAAGACCCACCAUCGUUCCAAUCUUAGUAGGAGGAAGGAUUCGACCUUGAGCCCUUGAUCCCCUCCCGGAACUGAGGAGUGACGGGAAUUUACAAUGGGGACACCAACCAGGGGGGUUUACACAAAUCAGAACAAUACCCUGAUGUCGAGGCUGGAGAUCCCAACAUUUGAAGGGGGCAAGCCUCGAUGGUGGAUCUAGCAUUGUGAAAAGUUCUUUCACUACUAUCGUAUGGUUGAAAAGAAGGUGAAUCUAGCAGUGAUGUAUCUUAACAACGUGGUGGAUGCGUGGUUUCAGGGGUGGAGUAGCCGAAGGUCCAAAUUGAGUUGGCAUGAAUUUGCGGAAGAAUUUUGUGUUUGCUUCGGUGAAAGAGUAAUGAUAGACGUGGUAGAAGAGUUCAACAAAUUGAAACAAGAAGGUGCAAUGGAUGAUUAUUUAAUCAGGUUUGAAGAGUUGAAAUCAUUGUUAACUCUCUCUCACCCAACCCUGGAUGAACCCCAUUUUAGUUUUAUCAGCAUCUUGACUGAUGAACUAAGGCCUACAGUAAAGAUGAUGCAACCAGCCAUCGUCAAGCAGGCUGCAGAGAAAGCCAGGCUCCAGGAACUUGCAUUGGGAAUGAUUGUCAAGUACAUGUUCUCCAUGGAAGUUAAGCCUUCAUUCAGUCAACAAUUGGAAGGAAAUCAAGGGAAUUCUCAAGAUUAUCCCAAGUCUAAUGUAGGUAAAUCUUCUACUAUGGAGCAGAAAAGGAAGUUAGGGUUAUGCUUUAAAUGUGGAGACAAAUUCAGUCUUGGCCACCAAUGUCGGAGACUGUUAUUGCGCAUGGAAGGAUCAGAAGGAAAGGGAGUAGGUGAUAAAAAGGUUGUUCUCCAAGAAAAAACCGAUGAUUGCAAGAUGAUUGCCAGAGAAACGUGGCAGAAAUUAUUACAAAAAGAGGUUCCAAAGGCUCAGCUACACUCGAUUCAAGCUGUCGAGUUUGAAGACAGAACUAAGGCGGCGGAAGAACAUUCAAGGGCUGCAAACACUGCUACACUUCAACUGUCCCAUGAAGAAGCGCAAAGGAGAAAAGAAGAAACAAGGAUAAACCAGGCAGUGAAGGCUGGUAUGUGUUGAUCUGUUGAUCCUUAGCCAGCUUUGACACUUCUUGGGGACAAUAAGUCGUUCAAGAGGGGGGGAUUUGUCACUACCCUAGGAUAUUAGAAGGGUAAUACUGUAAUUGGGCUGCAUAUUGUAGUAAUUCGGUUAGGUAGCCCUGGUUGUUGUUUGUUUGUUGAGCUUCAGUUACAAUAACUGAAGAACAGCCAGGUAUGCCUAUAAAAUGCCAAUUGUAAGGAGAUGGGCAUUCAUUCAUGGAAUAAGAUUGGAUCUUUUCCCUCACUCUUUGAAUUCUCUCUUUCUCGAACCCUCUAACCUUCCCCAAUUCUUGCUAUUCUCCCUACUCAGUCUAACUCUUCCCCAUUUUCUCUCUGAUUCUACCAAAAUUACCACUGUUAGAUCUUAGGAUCUGACACACAUCAGAUGCCACAUUCACAAGUUGUGAUGGGGUUAAUAUUUGUCAGUUGAUUUUUUAAAGGUCUUGUAGAAUUAAUACAAGAUUUGAAUUCAAAAUGUAAAAUUGAAAAGUUUGUUGCAGAUUUGAUACAUUGACAAAGUUUAGUAAUCUCUUUGGUAAUUAAACCUCUUUUGUGUGAUGAGUGCUUAAUUUCUUGAAAGAAUACAAUUGGGAUGUGGUCUUCUUCAUUUAUUGUAGGCUUUAGUCCCUUGUAUGGGGGGGGGUUAAAUUUCAAUGUGGGACAAAUUGUUAAUUAGGCACUUAUCCUACAUUGAAAUUUUAUAAGUUGCCAAUGCCUAUAAAUAAAUAAAGGUUUUCCUAAGGGGCAAAGAUAUUGUGCAUUUAAUGCAUUUUAAUUAAUACAUUUUAACAAAUCAUGUGAGAACACAUAAGUCAAGUGUAUUAAAUACAUUUUUGUUUAUGCACCUCAAUUAUGUGUCCUCACUUGAUUGGUUGAGAUGUAUUAAUUGAGGUGCAUUAAAUGCACCUUAUCUAGUGUUGGGCACAGAAUAGAAGAACUCGUAAACAAAUCGUGUCAUUGUCACACCCUCGGGUUGAGCUAGGGUAUGAAAAGGGAAUUGGGUAGAUUAAGAGAAGAAUUUUGGGGGAAGGGUUCAGAUGGAAGAGAGAGGAACGGGAAGAAGAGGGAGAAUGUUUGAGAGAGAAAGAGAGAGAUAAUACAGAAUAUUCAAUUCAUUUCUCAACAUGCCCUUCCAUCCUACAGCUGUGGCUUAUUUAUAGCCUCACAGCCCCACCCAUGUGCAGCAUAACCACUUGGCCUCAGCCCAAACAUCCAUGUGCAGUACAACUGUAAUCAUAACCACCAAUAGCUAAGGGUAAAUAUCUAUAACAGAAAAGAAAAUUACAAUACUACCUGGGAACAUGACAGUCAUUUACAUCCAUUCAAUAGUUUAAAAAAAAAAGGUAGGGUUUUUCUGGCUUAUUUGUAUUGAAUAUACAUUUUUCCAGAUAUGUAUAUUUAUUGCACUUUAUUCAGUGCAAUAAUAAAGUGUAAUCUAUAUACUUUGUUUAGGAAAAAGCUGUAUUCAUUACACAUUUUCUUGUGUCUUUAGGCAUAGGAUAGAAAAGCCAUUUAAUUGCUGCUUAAGGAAAUUUAAGUAUUGCACUUGUAAGUAAAUUUUUUAAGUGCAACACUUUUCCAAGUGUUUUGAGUAUUGGACACUUCGAAUUUUGUAAGGACAAUGAUUAUUAUGUCAAAAAAUGUGCCAAGUGCAUGUGUCGACGGGGUAAAAUUACAAUUUUUCCCUUGCUUGCUUUUAUCUCAAUUAAAGACAAGCAGGGGUGAAAUUGUAAUUUUAUCCCCUUGGCCCAUUCAUUGGACGUGUUUUCAAUAUGAUAAUCAUGUCCACUUAGUAAAUGCUAUUCAACUGGUAUGAUGGCCAAUAGAAUUCUAGAUUUGUAAUAUUUUGACAAGGAUUCUAAUCUUCAUAAUUUUUUAUUAAAAUAAUCUUUAGUAAAAAAUUCUUUUGUAUUAUGGAUAUAUUUAUUGUCUUUUGUUUUAGUAAUGAUUUUAUUUUCUAAAUAAGGGUGAAUUUUUGUUCAAAUUCUUGAUGACAUCCAACACUCACACUUGUUAUCCUUUUGAUGCUUAUAUUUAUCUUAAAUGUCCUUUUUCAUUGUAGUUGCUGCUGCUGCAUUACCUUCAUCCUCAUUAGUAUGUUGGUACUGUUGUUAUAACUUAUUACUAUUAACAUUAUGGUGGGGAAAUUGUUAACAAAAUUGAUAAUGCUCUCAAAGAUCUUAGUGGUCUAUGGUGCUGACCAAUAAUAUGAAGCUUAUAACUGUUUCUCUUCAGAGUGUUGUAUCAAUGUGAAAAAUUGAAUAUCACUUGUUCAUUUUGCACUAUGCGUUAAUCAAGAGAAAAGAGAUGCCAAUCUUAUCAUUAGCUUCUUCUUUUAGUUGGUAUAUGAGAAUAAAUUCAUUUUGUGCCCUGUUCUGAAAACUGCUAUAGGUUUCUUCCAACUGCAUUACUACACACACAAAUGAGCAGUACUGAAAGAUUGAGAAGAUGCAUAGGGAUGUAUGUCCAUAUCUAUUGUGAUUUGUUAUUGGUAACUUUUUCCAAUUUAAUGUAUUUGUACGUUUCGCUAUCCUGUGAUGUAGACUUAUUAGGCUUCCAUAUGCGGAAAAAGGUCAAAAUUAGAUGAAUGGUUGCAUGUUUUUCUGACUAAUAUGGGUGCAUUUGGGCAUAUGGUUAUUGGCCAUUGUUCUUAAAGGCCCAAGGUGCACUAAGGCGCAAAAGGGGUGUUGGAGCCGGAGAGGCGCAAGGCGAGGCGCGCACUUGGUGGAACUAGGCGCAUGUUAACUGAAAUAUAUAUAUAUAUAUAUAUAUUCUAGUUGAAAAAUAAGGUAUAAAAUAAGUUCUAACUCCUAAUAACAUAUUCACAAGUAUGUUAUCAAGAAAAUUUAAAAUUUCAACAUAUACUAACUAAAAAAAAUAUCAAAACAAGUUACAUACCUAUAAAUAACAAUAAAGCACAUUCCAUCAUAUCUAAGCAACCCACUUAUAAACAUUACAAAAGUUAAAAACUUUGUAAGAAGUUUUAAAAUCUAUUGUUGGCACACACACACACACACACAUAUAUAUAUAUAAUGAAAAGAACAUUAAAAAAUGCCAAAAGAUGCAAUUUAAAAGUCUUAAAUCGACUUAAAUUAAAUCUUAAACAAUUUAUAGGUUUUAAAUCUUAAUUAAGAUUAAUUAAUUAUGCAUUUUAAAUAAUAUAAAAAUCAUUUUCAUCAUCAAGAUCAAACAUUUCCAUAUUUUCAUCAUUAUAAGCAUCAUUAUAAACAUUUCCAUAUUUUCCUCUUUUUUCAUAUCAUCUCCCACUCCAUCUUUAUCAAGUUCAAAUUCAAUUUGAGCAUUUGAAGUAGUAGCCCUUUUAUUCAUUGUCAAAUUUGGAGUUGAAGCAAUAAGUAUAAACCCUAAACAGUAAAAAAUAAAAUACAAUAAUAAACAGUAAAAUAUAAAUCCUAAAAACAGUUAAAAAAAGCCAGGCGCACAUAAGCCUAAUUUUGCGCCUGAGGGCCUAGGUGUGCCUAGCUGGUCUGCACCUGCCUGGGAGCAUUCCAUGCGCCUACCUAGGUGCGCCUUUAAUAACACUGUUACCAACAUUUGAUGGUUGCCAAAUUGAAAUUUUAGUGUUGUGUAUUCUUGAGAGCAAUGGUAGUUGAGGUCCUUGAGUAUUGUUCUGAGAAAACUACAGUGUGAUUAAGAUGUCAAAUGGACUGUAUUUCAUUCAUUUAUACAAUCAUCUAGGGCUACAAACCAGAAGAAACCAUGCUACAUAUCUGUAUUCCAUUAAUAGUCCUGUGUGGCAGAAUGUUGAUGUAAUUUAACCUUCUUAUUCAUUGUUAUUUUAUGAUACAAGCCAAGGUUACAACAUCACAAGCCUUAAAAUCCCAUUAGGGGGAGUCAGUGACAUGAAGAUGGGUAAGCAAAGGCUGUUGAUUAAUAAGUCUUAACUCUUAGACCAUUGGAUAUUAACUUGAAUGGAUUUGAGGUUUGAGGCUUUCUUCAAUCACAUGUUCCAUUGGUGCGACACCUAGUUUAUUGAAGUGAAGUCAAGGUAGGUAUUGAGAAGCAUUCAGCCAUGGUCUCUAGGUGUUCCAUGGUCCCAUUCUACUAAAUUUUUUUGGGGGGUUGGAUCUAUAUUAACUGUUGUAAAUUAUGUUGUCAAGUGUGGUUGUUUUAUUGUUUAAGAAAAAAACUUUUAUAUUCUUGUCAUAUAUAAAUAAUUGGCAGAAAUUACAAACAGUGAAUGAUUACUUUCUAAGAGCUGAAGUAAUUUAAUAUCUGCAUUUAUUGGGAAGCAAUGUAGAGUUUGAAGAGCAAUUUGUGUUUCAUUGUGCAACUACUAUGUUUUUGCCUUUAUGCAUUUUUCAAGAAGCUUUGUAUUGCUAGAUGAUGGAACACUAAUUUUGUAGAGUGAUUGCUUUCUUUUCCAUUAGUAACCUUUGCUAUCAAAUCAUAUAUGUACAUAUUAAUAUUUUUAGAUUUCAUCCCCUCCCAUCCUCAUAUUCUUCUUUCUUAAGUUAGGGGAGCCUUCUAAUGAUAAAGAUAAACCACUAAAAUUAACCAUCAAUGAAUUAUGAUAGCUACAAGAUCUGGGGGCUUAAAUGUGUUUUAUUAAAGUCCUACUACUAUUUAGGUUAUGGGAUCCAAGAUUGAUUUAUUUGGUGAAUGUUGUUAAUGUAGUCUAUUUUAGGAAUUUGAUUUCAUCAGUUACUUAUUGGUUUAUAGUCAUUUUUGUUUUAUAUAUUAAUCGUUUUGGGUGAUGCUUGAUUUAUUGAGGAAAAUUAAACAUUCCAUAAUUUGAUGGUAAUUUAUAUACGCACAGACCACCAUGGUGUUAGCUUAACAGUUGGGUAGGAAUCUCUUGUAGCUAGUGGUCAGGGGAUCAAAUCAUAGUAUCCUCAAACAUGAACUUGCUUGUGGUAGUACUCAUACACGGAAAGCGUAAGGGCUCAUGUUGGGCAUUGUGGUGGGGCUAGGGUGAUGGGCUUAUCUUAGCUCAAAUCGAACAUCCUUUAGUGAGAGAGGACUUUUAUGGUCACACCCAAAGGGGGGUUGCUAUGCUGGUCACCCCACAUCUCCCUUUUUCUCUAACAAGAUAUGCACACACACAUGCUGCGUGAUUUUUUCUGAUGUGAUUAUUCAUUUUGUUGUAUUUUACUCUUUUUUUUUUGCAAAAAUAAUAUUAUUUCAAUACAUUAUAAUGAAAGUAACAUCCUUAUGAAAAUAUUUACAAAUCUAGCACUCAAUUGGUCAACUCACCAACCGACCCAACAUAGAACCAUUGGUUAAUGUUAUUAUUUAUUUGUUUUUAAACAAUUUUCAAGAAACUCUAAUAUUGCCCGAUGACGGAAAACUCAUUUUAUAGAGUGGUUGCAUUGGUUUCUAUUAGUAGCCUCCCCUAUCAAAUCAAUUUAUUUUUUCAAUUUCAUCCUCACCCUCUCCCCCCUCCCCUUUCCCCCCUCCUAUUCUUCAAGUUAGGGGAGCCUUCUAAUUAUAAACCAUUAGCAUUAUCAAUCAAUGAAUUAUGAUAGCUAUGAGAUCUGAGGGCUUAGAUGUUUUUCAUAAAAUUGCUUCUACUACUAAUAAGUAGUGAGGGACCAAAAUCAGGUUUAAUAAACCGACAGCUUGGUAGUCCUUUUUAUUCUUUCCUUGAUUAUCAUAUAAGCAAAAAUCAUGUUUAAUAUAACAGCUUGGUAGCUACUCUAUCUGCAUGUAUUAAUAGUUUGCUUGAUUAUCAUAUAGCUUUUUCCUUGUUUACGCUUUAGGCUACAUUUGGUUGGGCAAAAUGGAAGAUGAGGGAAAGGGAUUGGGAGUGGAAGGGAAUAGCUACUCCAUUCCAUCCCACGUUUGGUAUGGGCAGGACAAUCCAUUCCAUUAUUAUGUUUGGUAUGCCUUCAUUUUGAUGGAGUGGAAUAGUACAAAUCAACCAUUUGAUGAAAAUGCCCUUUUACAUUAUAUAAAUUAAAAAAUCUUAUAAAAUAAUAUUUAAUUCCAAAUAAUCAUAUAAUUAUCAAGUAUAUGGAAAAAGAUCUAUUUUUGCCCCUUUUAAGCUAAAAAUAAUAAUAAAAAUUGAAUAAAUCCAAAGGUGGUUUGUCGUGGUGUCAACGAUGGAGAAGGGGCCGAUUUGGGUGGAUCUCAGCCAGAUCUGGUUCAAAGGGGGUAGAUGGUUGUGGUGGUCGGCGGUGGAACAAAAGGGGAUUGGUGUGGUGGGUUCGACCAGAUCUGUGGGGAGGAGACGGAAGGUCACAGUCAAGGUGGUUUUCGGUGGCCUUGGGCAGUGGAAGAGAGGGUGGGUCGUGGUGGUGGUGCUAAUGAUGGUUUUUAGGCAGAUCUAGUUUGGAGGAGGUAGAUUGUUGUGGUUGCUGGUGGCGAAAGAGGGUGUGGGGCGUGGUGGGUUUGACCAGAUUUGCGGGGAGGGGAUGGAAGGUUGUAGAGAUGGUGGUUUCCAAUGAGUUUUGGCAGAGGACGAGGGAAGGGUGGGUCGUGGUGGUGUCGAUAGUGGAGGGGUGGUUAAUGGUGGUUCUCGGCCAGAUCUAGUUCAAAGGAGGCAAAAGGUCAUGCUGAUCGACUGGUGAAGUGGAGGGAGAUGGUUUGCGGUGGAAGAUGGCUAAACACAUUGGAAAAUUGGACCGACGGCAGUGGAAUGCAAAAGGCGGCGGUGGCAGCUGGGAGAGGUUUUCACACAAUGGUUUGAUGAAAGGUGAAAAUGGCUGUCUUGGUUUAUAUAUGUGGCACUUUGUAAUUAGGAGAAAAACAGAGACGGUAAAAUUGUCAAUCUACUACCUAUUCCAUGGAAUUGGAAGGUUUUCCAUCAUUCUGAGGGAAUGGCCAUUCCCCAAGGAAUAGGUCAUUCCAUUCCCUCGUUCCAACCAAACAAGCUUUUGUGGGAAUCUCAUUCCCAUUCCUUUCCAUCGCCCUCCAUCCCCAAUCAGAUGUAGCCUUAGUUUGCUGCCUAAGAAAUAUUGUUUAGUGUGCCUGAAACUAUUUUUUUCUGAAGCUGUUGAGCUCUGGAUGAUUUUCUGUUUUUAUCACAAAUGCCAUCUGCAUUGUUCUCAUCUGAGGUACCUCUUCCCAUGACAUGGUUAGAUGAUGAUGGACAGGCAGCUCAAUCAGCACCAUUUUGUUCAACAAAUUUUUGAUGGAUCUAUUGCCUUCUGAAAAUUUACCCGUGCACUUUCAGUAACUAAGAGUCAAUCAGGUGCGUAAUCAAGCUAAUCUCAUUCCUUAGGCCCUGGAGCAAUAGGGGAUAAAAGAGUUGACUUUAUGUUGAAUACAGGAACUGUUACAGUUAGCAUAGAUGGAAUAAACUAUCAGGGACUUGCUCAUAAUAAAGGGAGAGGGUAGGGCCCUGCUAGAGUCUCUUGAUCUUGAUAGUUAAGACUUUUUUCAUAGUCAAUAUCAGGCCAGAGGAGGCAUCCUUAGACAAUUCGUUUCACUAUGGGGUGAUUUCUUAAAAUAGACUCUGUAUAAAAAGAUCACCAGCCUACUAGCUCCUAUAAGGUGGUCCUUUUCUAUGUUUCUGACUAGAAGGGCAGAGCUGGGCUCAGUCUCUGAGAAAGACGCAUGAUAACUCCAAACUCUUUUUAAAAAUCAUAGCAGAAAUCCAGCAAUCGCCGAAGUUGGAAAGGAUGAAGUAUGAAAAGCACUUCUAGCCAGUCAAGAGCAGCUAGGAGAACGGAGGAGCAUUCUUCUUUUUCAACGAGGCUCGGCUCGGCUCUGCAUGCUUUCUAAAACUAAGACGGAUUCUGAAACUAGCGAAGCAAGGAAGGGACAGAUUCACCGAGGAAGUGAGGUUAUUGAAGAUAAUUGACGUACCUACUACAUUUGAUUAUAUCCAAGUAUUUGUGGAUAAAGAUGAUUCCCAAGCUUGAAAUUUUACUGAUCCUACCUGCUUGAAUUAAAGCUUGCUGUUGUACUAAAAUGUUUGAUUGCAUAGAAGCCCUAAUGUCGAGUCCAGUUAAGGUCUGAUCUGUUGUUUCUUUAUUGUACACGGUUUCUCGUUUGUGCUCCAACUUUCGAAGAUGUUAUUUUUUCAUGUAACUGAUUCUGUUGUUUUUGCUGGAUUU